rnacentral:rRNA from 1 species
GGGUUCCACACGUACCCAUCCCGAACACGACCGUUAAGCCCUCUAGCGCCGAUGGUACUUGGACCGAAGGGUCCUGGGAGAGUAGGAAGCCGCCAAGC